CUGUCAAAUCCAUUACAGGAACAGUUUGCAGAGGUACAGCACCCGAUGAUCGAUUUCACGGAGGAUGGAUUUACGUCACUGGUGGACAAACGCACUGCAAUUUUGAGUUUGAUUCCAGUGAACACUCUGUUCGGGACUACCAGGUUCUUGUGGAUCCAUGUGCUGGUAGUGGAGUGGAAUGGGUCACAGGUGUUCCAAACAGCAAAUCAGUUAGGAUUGGAACCUCAGCACGUUUCCCAGAUGUAAUGAUGUAUCUGUGCAGCGAUCACAAUGGAAUUACAGGAAAACUGUUUCUUACUUGAAAUGGCUGGCGGUGUCAUAUAGGAUUUGGAAACCAGGCUUGGCUUAACGAUGUCUUCACCAUACUACAACAAAAGCCAUGCAUUGAAUAUAGUGAAAGAAGAAUGAAACAUCAUAUGGACUUCAGUCAGAAGAGGGGAAGUCAGUGAAAAAUACUUUGUGACAAUUAGAAUGCUUGCAAAUAUGCAAAAUAUUAAUGACAUGGGUACUACAUCCAGUGUUCCAGAAUCAAUAAACGACACAUUAUUUGUGGUUUUCACUUCAAA